rnacentral:ncRNA from 2 species
UAACGGUUCAGGUGAGAGUCUUCACUUUGAUGAAGCGCCGACGGAGCAACGACCCCGGAAUCUCUCAGGCAAAAGAAUCCUGAACCUUUG